rnacentral:lncRNA from 1 species
CAAGUACUUUGUUCAUCAAGAUCUUGUCCAUGGUUUGAAAUCCAACAAGGAAAUCUCAUAAGAUUUUCAUUCAAGAGGUAAGGUUCUAACCCUAGUCUUCAAUUUCGAGUUUGGGGUGAAAGAUGGGUGAUAGGGAGUAUAAUUCUUGGGUGUAAGAGUAUUAUUUAUACAUGCAUGUGCCAAUAAGGUUUGUGAGAAGAUUGUUGAGCUCAAAUAAGUAAGGAUUGGAUUGUGGAAUGAAGGAAAUCAUGUAGAUGGACCUUGUAAUCAAAUUUGCACAUUUAGUAUUUGAUAAAAUGCUCAAAUGAGCUGAGACCAUGAAUAGCUUCCUAAUUUGUGUUCAAUUUUGUUAUGUCUCAAAAUAUAUUAGGAUUGCUAGGAUUUUCGGAACGUUGUAGUAGUUUAAGGAAAGCUCCAAGCAAGGUAUGUUGGCUAAACUACUCUCUUAGAAUCGAAUUCCAUAAUAUUCCUGUAAGUUUCAAGUAUGGUUGGCUCAAGUUCCUAAUUCCUAUGUUCCGGGUUAUCCCUUAUAAAAUUGACUAUUCCGAAUGAGACUUAUGUCAAAAGAUAUAUGUUCAAAGUAUGGGUUGCGUAUUAAAAUAUUAUGUCUUUGAGUCGUGUUUCAAAUGAAAGCUAGUAUGCCAAAUUGUGUGAGAAAAACUCGAUAUGCUUAAGACUCUUAAUUGCUCAUAUGUGUACCUAAGGUAUUGAUUGAAAAUGUCUUAUUGUUGAUAAUCUAUAAAGAUGCUUAAAAAUAAAAUAAGUGAAUUGGGGAUAUAGAGUGUUGACAAUGUGCCAAUAAUGAAAAUUAUACUUGUGGUUAGUGGUGCCAAUGAAAUAAUCUGAUGUGAGAAAGAUUAUGAAAUGGGAUUUGAUUAUAUUAUUCCAAAAUUAUUUCAUGAAAAUAAUUGCCUAAAAGCUUAUGUACUCAAGUCAUGCUCAUAUGUAAACCCGGUACAUGUAAAUAGCUUCAUAUAUACUAGAACCUUGUUCCAAACCUUCACAACACUGACAUCGAUGCAAGAAACAUGAAGAUCUCAUAACUAAUCACCCAAAUCAUAAUGCCACAUAGGCACAAACCUCUCAAUCCAAACUCACAAGCACAACUCGAAUAUGACUAAAUAUGGAUUGAGAAAAACAUCAGAGAACUACCAAAGAAGUCCAACUAGUACAACUCCCCAUCGGUAUCAUACUACGAAUCCAUUUCCUAAGGGAAAACAAAAUAUAUGAACUAAUCACAAAGAUCUCAUCCUAACAUAACUCCACCGCGACACGUAACAUAUCAAUCCACUCAGAAAUACGAGGAUCCCACCCUUAACUCUUAAUCACAUGUAGAAUACACAUCACACCAACCGAAAUAUUCCACUAACUUAAUUUCGCAAAAUAAUAUUACAACACGUAACGAACUUACCAUACUGGUAGAGCACUUAAUCAAAAAUCAUAACCAAACCAUCCAAAAAUCACGUCAAAACCUACCGUAAUGAGUAAUAGAAAGUUCAUUCUAGUCUCAUAGCUCUCAAUAGUGAACAAACCGAAACGAUAGCCAUGGGCUACCACUAUAGAAUCUCUCAACAGGGUAAAUGCAUAAGUAGAGUAUAAGAAUCACAAAACAUAUCCAUAUAUGGAGCAAGAUAAAAGAACUCACACUGAUAAAUAGGACCAGAUUCAAAAUAAGACUGAUGCUCUUCUAUGACAAACCGAAACCAUACCUGUAAUGACAUCAUCUGGUGCAGCAUCCCCUCAGCCCUACCAUGGAAAGCAUAUCAACGGGCCGAGCCUCCCCCUUAGGACGCCCUCUACCCGACUGUCCACCACCCAAAGCUGGUUGUGCAAGUGGAGUAGCAAUUGGAAUGGAUCCCAUAACGUGAGUUCCCUGAUGAAAUCCACCUCUCCCGAGUCUGGGACAAGCCCUCAUGAUAUGCCUAGUAUCGCCACACUCAUAAUAACCCCUCUACGGGCAUGGCUGUUGGUACUAAGUCUAUACCAGAUAACUGGAAUAACCACUGCAGGAACCUCGUGCAGGUGGUGCAGUAAAAGAUGAUUGCCCUAUAUGAGUACCCUGAAGUCUAUGACUAGAUGGAGCUCCACGCAUAGUAUGAAGUACGGACUGGACUGGCUGACUAUUUGAGCCUCAGUCGUGAUGGGUUAUAGCUGAAGAGUAGAAUCCACUGAAUCCUCCAGAACCUCGAGACCUCUUGGACUCCUUAUCCUCCAUGUCCUCACCCCGAGUACGCUCUAAGCUCCUGGAAAUCUCCACAACCUGCUAAAAUAGAGUAAUCUUUCUUAGGGUUAUUGACAGAUAUUGUGAUUUGACUAUUGUUUGGGGUUUACUCUAUGUUAGUUGCCUGAAUUCGUUGAAUGAGUUAUUAAUCGAAUGGCAAGGCCAAUUGUGGUUUUACUUUAAUCGAAUGAGAAGUGUUUCUGCAAUUCAUAUUAUGUUAUCUUGUUUGGGUUGAUUUUAUGCCUCUCAUUGGUAAUUGAAAGAGCUUAGAGAAUUAUCAAUUGACCCAAUUUGGAAGAAUAGUCGAGAGACGUUCUUCGAAAGAUCAUUCAUUCACUGUAUUUUUGCAUGUGUUCAUAGGACCUGUCAUUAGGUUGGUUAACGGAACUCUCAUUCAUUCGGAAGAAGAAUUUGAAUCCUCAAGAUAGCCUAAUCAUCUAUUGAAAUCGAAAGAGUCAAUAGAAGUUAAGAGUGAACUUAGCACGGAGUUACCCAGAAUAAUAGUUGAUCGCAUAUCUUGUCACAACCCUUACUUCGCACCUUGAUAUUCAAAUCGUUGCUACUUAGUCACUAAAUUUCCAUUAUCUUCUCACAAUCGAUAAUCUUAGUUUUUAUUAUUAGUCGGUAAUAACCUAAAUCAAAGGUUUAUUUUCCUGGAUAGUGUUAAGCUGAGAUUUAUUAGAACAUUAUUUAAACCAAUCCCUGUGAAAACGAUCUAAUACUGUACUAUUUUUUACUAGUGAGCCUAGGUUUUAUACACGGGUUUUACACUCGUCAAAUUUUGGCGCCGUUGUCGGGAAUUGGCGAUUAAUAUUGUUUGAAAUAAUUUUCAGUGCUAAUUCAGGAAUGAUUUUAUUUUAUUUUAUUUUCCCUUUUUACGCUCUUCUUAUCUGUGUGGAGGUAACAGGUUAAGUUCAGUGGUGUAUGACUCGAUCGUCUUCCAAGGAAUUGGUGCCAUACAAUCCAGAAUUAGACAAGCACUUGCAACAGUUGAGAAGGGAGAAAGAAUCAAGAGGAUCAUUGUUGGGUCAGAUUUCGACUCAAAAUACAAUGGUGAAUAAUGAAAAGGACGUGAACCUAGCUACGAGAGGGGCAGCUCAACAAUAGGAUGCACAGUUAGCAGCUGAAGCAGCCUGUAGAGCUGCAGAUGAAACAGUCGACGAGGAUCGAAGGUACAAUCUCAAACGAACCAUGGUUGAAGAUGAAUUUGAAGAUGCAGCUCCUAGGCCUGGGAGGUCUCUAGGAGAUUAUGCCAGACCAGUGUACAACCAGAAGAAAUCUAGUGUGAGGCCCCCACCCAUUGAUGCCAACAAUUUUGAACUCAAGCAGGGAGUCAUCCAAACCAUUCAGAACAUCUGCAUAUUCAGAGGCAAACCCAAUGAAGAUCCUAAUAACCAUCUGAUGGACUUCGACGAAAUUAUGAAUACAUUCUGCUAUAAUGGAGCAUCACAUGAUGCCAUCUACCUCAGAGCAUUCCCUUUCUCACUUAAGGAUGAUGCAAAGCAAUGGUUGAGAAGUCUACCCACAGAGUCCAUCCGUACGUGGGAGGAGAUGACCACCAAGUUCUUAGAAAAAUAUUUCUCUACUACUAAGACUGGAAAGAUGAGGAAGGAGAUUCACAAUUUCAGCCAAGGUGAAGGGGAAACAGUGUUUGAGACAUGAAAAAGAUUUAAGGAGCUAUUGCAGAGGUGCCCUCAUAAGGGAAUGGAGCAAUGGAUGCAACUCCAACAUUUCUGGGACGGGUUACUCAUCAUCAAGGAGAUUGCUUAAUAGUGCGGUUGCAAGGUCCUCUGAUGAAGAAAACUCCAGAAGAGAUUGUCACACUUCUGAAUGAACUAUUUGAAGACGCAGAACAAUGGUCCACUGACCAAGGGGAUCGAAAAAGAUCAGCGGGGGUGCACCAAGUAGAAUCAUCUGUAGCAAUACAGGCCCAAAUUGCAGCUAUGGCUAAGGACAUCAAGCAACUGACGAUAGCUCAGGUUGAAAAUCAACCACAGGUGGGAUAUGGUAUCUGUGGACUAGGACACCCAACUCAUGAGUGCCAAACCUUCACCGCAGAAGAAAAAGUUAAGGCAUUGGGGAAUUUCAACAGAGGCAACUACCAAGGCGGUAGUAAUUUCAAUUCUAUAGGAUAGAGACAUCCGGGAUUCUCAUGGAGUUCUUCAAAUGGCAGCUUGAACUCAUGGCAGCAGCAAAAUCCCAGAGCACCAGUGUAAGGACCUCUUGGCUUCCAGAACCAACAGAGGCAACCGUACCAGCCUCCACAGCGCAACAACUCAAGUUUAGAAGAUCUAAUGAAGGCAUUCAUAAAUAAAUCAGAUGAAAAACUUGAGACUCAAGGAACAGCUAUCCGGGAGCAAGGCAUAUCCAUCGGGAAUCUAGAAAGACAAAUGGGGCAGCUCACAUCAUUAUUAUCAGAAAGGGCUCCGGGGACUUUGCCGGCAAAUACUGAGAAGAACCCAAAAGAGACGAUCAAGGUUGUGUCUCUCAGGAUUGAAAAAAUAUUAGUAGAGUCGAUUGCAAAACCAAAGGGCUGAGAAGGAAAUUAACUCAACGAAGAUAUACGAAGAACAGAAAGUUGGUGAAUCUCCGCCUAAGGAGGAUAUUAGUGGCAAGGAGGUUCAUAAGCAGAAAUUAAGCAACGCAGUUGAGGAAAGCAAGAACAUGCUAAUGUUACCCUUUCCUCAAAAGUGGUCAAACUCAAUGCCUAAUGCAGUGCCAUUCUACAAAACAAAAUUCCUCAAAAGUGUGGGGAUCCUGGCAAUUUUACUAUACCCUGCUCAUUGGGGAGCAAAAAUUUUGACAAGGCCUUGUGCGAUUCAGGUGCAUCCAUUAACUUGAUGCCAUUAUCAGUGUUCAAGAAAUUGGAAGGAGAACUAGUCCUGAUCAAAUCUGUGUCGGUAUCUUUGCAAAUGGCUGAUCAGACCACGAUCAUACCGGAGGGCAUAAUUGAGGACAUUCUGGUAAGGGUGGACAAAUUUGUCUUCCUUGUAGACUUCAUCGUAGUAGACAUGGAAGUGAAUAAGGAGGUACCUCUAAUCCUGGGGAGACCAUUCCUUUGCACUGACCGGGCUAUUCUUGAUAUAUAUGAGGGUCAACUCAUGCUACGAGAAGGAAAGAAAAAAGUGGUAUUUCAAAUGAAAAGAAUGAUGAAAUACCCGUGUGAUGAGGCAUCUGCCUAUGCUUGUUUCAAACUGGAUGUGGUGGGAAAGUUAGCUGAACAACACAAGUUAGACAAGCUGGUAGGCGAUUCAUUAGAAAGAUACAUUAGUCAAUCAGGUACGGUAGAGGAUGAAGAUCCUGAGAUCAAGAAGAAAGUUGAGGUACUGGAAGAUGAGAACUAGGUGGUAGACGAAGAAGAAUUGGAGAAAGAAAAGAUCAAGCCGAAGCUGGAAAUGAAAGUACUCCCAACACAUUUGAAAUAUGUUUUUUUGGAGACUAACAAUUUUCUUGUGAUUGUUGUCGAUGAUUUGACAGGUGAACAGGAAAACAUGCUCGUGGAGUUACUGCAGAAGCAUAAAAAGGCAAUCGGUUGGAGCAUAGCUGAUAUUUAGGGAAUCAGCCCCACAAUCUGCAUGCACAAGAUCAUGUUGGAAGAAGGGAGCAAACCGGUGUGAGCACCAAAUUUUUGACUAUAUUUAAAUUUUCAUCACUUUUUAGUAUGUAAAUAUAUUUUAAGUUUAAUCUAUAUAUUUUAGCUCUUAUUUCUCCUUUUAUAGGUUUUACUUAAGAAAAUUGAAAAAUAAUUUUAAAAAAAAGUCACAUUUUUAGUAUAAGUUUUAUCUUCAUUUGCAAAGAAAGAAAAGUUUUAAAAAAUAUAUUUUACGUCUGUUUUAAUUUAAUUUCUAAGUUAGAGGCUUUAAUAAAUAAGAUAUUGAGUAUGUAGUAAUUUUACAUUGCUAUUUUUUAGUUUAGUAGGAGUAUGUUUUGUUUUUAUUUAGUUAUUUAUCAAGAAAAGAAAAUCAACCAAAAAAAAAAAAAGAGCCAAACAAGAAUUGCCACAUGUCCAAGAUUCUCUCUUAUCCUUAGUAACAAACUUUGAAAUUUCUCACAUGCGCACUCUCACAACUCACACCACCAGUCUCCAUCCAACUCGUUUUCUUCUCCCUCAUUCCUCUGGAUAUAAACACACAAAGUCACACACAAAAAAGAGGACACACCUAAAGAGAGGGGGACGGACAGAAAAAUUUUGGAGAAAGCAGCAGUGAUAGAAUGGGUAAAAACGGAGGAAGGAAAAUCGAAGAAGAUAGACUGAUAGAGAGUAUAAUAGUGAACGAGUAGACAAUCGAGGCAAUCGAAGUUCGAGUUCCGAAAAUCCGUUCGAGUUGGGAAGGUUUUCGGCCGAGGUCUUGUUCGCAUUUCCGAUUCCAAUGUUGUUGUCAAAUUUCAGUUUUCCUAAUUGAACGGUCAUUGCUAUUGUACAAAUUUUGACUUGGAUUUCUCUUUGUUAAUACAUUGAAGAUGGUUUUCUACCAGUGAAGGUCCGUUUCUUUUUACUUUGCCAAUAUUUUGAAUAAAUAAAUGCAUCUUCUUUAAAUUCUCAGUUCAAUACUUGCAUAAGAUUAGCCUGCCAUUUUUAGUGUGUUAACGUUCUUAGCAAAAAUAUGAUAAAAUUUACUUGAUUGAAAGUUUUAUUUAGUUUAAUGUUUAGAGUGAGUUUCAACUUUCUGUUGCUAUGCUUUAUUAGAGAUAAAUAACAGUAGUAUUCUAAUAUUGACAAUAAUUAGCUAUGGCUAUAAAUUAAGUAAAGGGCUAAAGUGGCAAAAUUGGUUAUGUUGUAAAUGGUUGGGGCCAAAAUGAAAUAGGCUAGAUUUGGAGCUUAGCACAAAAGGCUUUCUCUGCAAGAUUUAAUCGAGAAAGAAAAGAAGGCCUUCAAUACAAUUUGGGCCAAGAAUGUCUCUGCCCAUGCCCGAUUGUGCCACUUUUGUUGUGACCCAUUCUCAAUAAAUUCACAAAUUAGCCCAUCCUUUAUAAAUUAAUGGACAUCAAAUAUUUUUUGUCGCGCUUUAAGCACGCUCUUAAUCAAAUCAUCGUGAUUAUGUGUACGUUCGCGUGACAUAAUUACGAUUUUCAAAAUUAAAACCAAGGUAUGCUUUCGCGCAACUUUGGACGAAACAACCUUAAUCUUAAUAAAAUGUUAUUAAUUUUGUACACGUAUGCGUGACAUUAUUUUUGACAUCCAAAUAAAGCGGAUUCACACACAUGUGAUCCGUUUCGAAGAUAAAUCCAUAACGCCUUAAUUAAAAGCGGUAAAAGGGUAAAAGUACAUAGGUUCUAAAAUAUAUAAUUAAACAAUUUAAUUAACCCAGGUAUGAUUAAAAGCAACCGUGCUAAAAUCACGGAACUCGGAAAUGCCUAACACCUUCUCCCGGAUUAACAGAAUUCCUUACCCGAUCUUUUGGUUUCGCGGACUUUUUAAACAGAGUCAAAUUUCCUCGAUUUGAGAUUUAAAAUAAACCGGUGACUUGGGACACCAUAAUAUUAUUCCAAGUGGCAACUCUGAAUUAAAAUAAAUAAUCUCAUUUCGAUUAAUGUCACUUUAAUUGGAAAAACUCCCCUAUUCCCUCGGAAAAAAGGAGGUGUGACAACCGGUAGUGUAGCCCCAGUGCAAAUUGAAUAAAAACCUUGAGGAGGUGGUGCAAAAGGAGAUACUCAAAUUGCUGGAUGCAUAUAUCCCAUCUCUAACAGCCAAUGGAUCAGCCCCGUAUAGGUUGUGCCGAAAAAAAGGGGCAUGACGGUGGUGAAAAACGAGGACAACGAGCUAAUUCCUACUAGAAUUGUUACUGGUUGGACGAUGUGCAUAGACUACCGAAGGCUAAAUGAUCCAACAAGGAAGGAUCACUUCCCUCUUUCUUUCAUUGAUCAGAUGUUGGAGAAGGUGGCAGGGUAUGGAUGUUACUGCUUCUUAGAUGGAUAUUCAGGGUACAAUCAAAUACCCAUUGCUCCCGAAGAAGUUGAGAAAACCACCUUUACCUGCCCUUCCGGAAUCUUUGCAUACCGGAGAAUGCCUUUCGGAUUGUGCAAUGCACCAGCUAUAUUUCAGAGAUGCAUGAUGUCAAUCUUUUCAAAUUUGAAUGGGAAGUCUCUGGAGGUGUUCAUGGAUGACUUUGCUCUAUAUGGAGAUGACUUCAAGGAUUGCUUGAGGAAUCUCGAACUUGUUCUGAAACGAUGUGAGGACACUCACCUAGUACUCAACUGGAAAAAGUGUCUCUUCAUGGUUAAGGAAGGGAUAGUCUUGGGCCAUAAAGUCACAGCUGAAGAUAUUGAGGUCGACAGAGCUAAAGUAGAUGUGAUAGCUAAGCUUCCACUACUGACGUCAGUGAAGAGCAUCAGAAGUUUUUUGGGGCAUGCAGGGUUUUUUAGAAGGUUCAUCAAGAAUUUCUCCAGCAUUACCAAGCCCUUAACAUCAUUACUUGCCAAGGAUGUGAAAUUUGUAUUCGAUGUAGAGUGCCUCAGAGAAUUCGAACUGAUCAAGGAACUCUUUUUGACCUGUAUGAAGCCUAUCUCAUCUCAAAACAAGGUAUCUCGGAUUUUGGAGCAACUUUUGGAGAGAAGAAGGCAAGGAAACAACGGAGACUCUAAAUACUUCAUCCAAUUCAUUCAAUACGGAAGUUUGGUUGAUUUUGGGAAUUGUAAUGUCUUCUUGUUCUUCUAAUUCUCUUGUGAUAAACAACUUCUCCACUAUGGAGUAAUCUAUCUUAGGGUUAUUGACAAAUAUUGUGAUUUGACUGUUGUUUGGGGUUUACUCUACGUUAGUUGCCUGAAUUCGUUGAAUGAGUUAUUAAUCGAAUGGCAAUGCCAAUUGUCGUUUUACUUUAAUCGAAAGAGAAGUGUUGCUGCAAUUCGCAUUGUGUUAUCUUGUUUGGCUUGAUUAUACGCCUAUCAUAGGUAAUCGAAAAAGCUUAGAGAGUUAUCAAUUGACCCAAUUUGGAAGAAUAGUCGAAAGACGUUCUUUGAAAGAUCAUUCAUUCACUGUAUUUUUGCAUGUGUUCAUAGGACCUGUCAUUUGGUUGGUUAACGAAACUCUCAUUCAUUCGGAAGAAGAAUUUGAAUCCUCAAGAUAGCCUAAUCAUUUGUUAAAAUCGAAAGAGUAAAUAGAAGUUAAGAGUGAACUUAGCACGGAGGUACCCAGAUUAAUAGUUGAUCACAUAUCUUGUCACAGCCCUUACUUCGCACCUUGAUAUUCAAAUCGUUGCUACUUAGUCACUAAAUUUCCAUUAUUUUCUCAUAAUCGAUAAUCUUAGUUUUUAUUAUUAGUCGGUAAUAACCUAAAUCAAAGGUUUAUUUUCCUGGAUAGUGUUAAGCUGAGAUUUAUUAGAACAUUAUCUAAACCAAUCCCUGUGGAGACGAUCUAAUACUAUACUAUCUUUGACUAGCGAGCUUAAAUUUUAUACACCGAUUUUGUGCUCGUAAGUGAGAAUUUCUGGUGUUGAUUGCCUGCAAGUCUUGCAUUUGGGAGGACCUGUUCGCAAAUGUGAGCCUCGCAUUUACGAGACAAUGCUCGCAUUUGCGAUAGGGAAGGCUGGGCACUCGCUUUUGCAAAGUCAAGCCCUCUUUUGCGAAUGGGCGGGCAUCGCAAUUGCGAUGGGCUGGUCGCAAAAGCCCAUCACAAUUGCAACACUGGGAGACUUGGGAGCAGUUUCGCAUAUGCGAAACUUGGGUCGCUUUUUCGAGGGGUUGGACUUGCGCAAAUGUGAAGAUUUUGUCGCAUUUGCGACAUCUGGGAGGCUCAGACACUGGGCACUUUUGCGAAUAUCACAAUUACAAACAAGAAUUCACAAUUGCGAUAUCUGCAGCUGGGUAAAAAUUGGAAAUUUCGGGACUUAGCUCAUUUUAUACCAUUUUUGAGAUCUAGACUCUGUAAAGGUGAUUUUUGGAGAGAAAUUUCUUCUCAACUUAACUUUAACUUGUCAUUCAAUUUACAUUACUUUUUCACAAAUUUUCUAUCAAAUCUAAGAUUCAUAGAGUAAAAAUUGAGGUUUUGAGUAGAAACUAGGGAUUUUGUAAAAUUGAUAUUUAUACCUCAAAUUGAGGACGGAUUUGAAAAUAAAUCACAUAUUCGGGCUCGGUGGUGGAUGAGUAAUCGGGAUUUGGUCUUAAUUUAAAUUCCGACCACGUGGUCUCGGAUUGACUUUUUGUUGGCUUUUUCAAUUAUGUAAAGAUCGAACAUUUUUCAUUCGAGGGUAGUUUUUGAAUCUUGUUUUGAGUUGUUUGAAUAAUAAUUGAUUAGAUACGGAUAGUUUAAAGGCUUGUUCUAAAGAAAAAGCCGCGUUGGAUUGUUGAUCUUGUUUUAGAAAGAGGUAAUUGUUUUAGUUAACCUUGAUUUGAAGGAAAUAGGAUAUAAUCGAGUCUAUUUGCUAUGUGAUCUACGUGUUGGGGGCGGCGUAUAUGUAAGGUGAUGAGUGUAUAUGCGUUGGCCAUGGGAUAAGCAUGCAGGUAGUAUUAGCCCUAUUUGUGCCAUGUUACGUUAUGUAUUAUGUCUGCCAUGCUUUAGAUAGAUUGUAUCAUUCUUUGAUUUCUUGCACUCAUGUUAUUUACUAUGUGAGAUUAAAGAGAUAUUAGGCGUUGAGAUCGUUGAAUUGUUGAUUUGGUUGUUGGUACUAAAAGUAAUUUCUCAUAUGACGAGUCGUGUUCAAAUAUUAUCUUUGAUGUUGAAUAUGCUUCCUACCUUUCUUGGUAUUGUGUUGUAUGUGAUGUUUGGUGAGGAAGACUGAAAUGCACGAAUGGUGUUGUCGUGCUUAUGAGGAAGAAUGAUUGUGCACGAAGGGUGUUUCCGUGCUUUAUUCAUAUGUUGAUAUCAUUACACGAAGGGUGUUUCCUUGCUUGAGUGAAAGUGAGGAUAUGCACAAAUGGUGUUUCUGUGGUUGCUAUUAUAAUAUGAUGUGAGGAUGAGAGUAAAAGCACGAAGGGUGAUGCCGUGCCUUUUGUUAGUUUUAUUAUCCCUUACUUUGAUAUUCGGAUUAUGGACAUGGCUUUGUGGCUUCAUUAUUUAAUUUUGAAAGAUUGUUUAUAGAUGUUGUAAAACUACGAGUUGUGGCUUACUUAGUGACGCUUUACAUUAUUUUCCCAUUUUAAGCCCCUUUACUUGUGUACUUGUUAUCCCUUUCACUUGUUAUCCCGUUAUUAUACUUGAUAUUUUACCAGUUAUUUUGUUACUUCUUGAUAUAUAAUUGCAUAGGUUUAUUAUAGGUAUCUUGUCUUAGUCUCGUCACUACCUUGUCGGGGUUAGGCUCUAUACUUACUGAGUACAUUGGGUCGGUUGUACUCAUAUUAUAUUUCUGCACUUCUUAUGCAGAUCUAGACAUUAGUAAAGGCGGAUUCCCGAGAGGUGCUUAGCGGAUACCAGUCAGGUGAUUCGAGAUUGAGCUGCAUUCCAUUCGCAAGCCUUAGAGUCAUCUUCCUAUUUCUAUUGUAUUGUUUCUACAUUUCUGACAGUAUUAUAUUUCUUUCAAAACUGUAUUUAGUAAACUCUAGUAGCUCAUGUACUUGUGACUCCACGUCUUGGGAUGGUUGAACGUUAGUGUUGAUCUUAGACUUAUCAUGAAUACUUUCGAGUUGCUUUUAUACUAUAUUAUUAUCUUGCUGUAAGUUGUUAAUUGCAAUUCUUUUGUAUCUUUCAGUUGUGCAUUGGCUUGCCUAGCAAGCGGUGUUAGAUGCCAUCACGGUCCCGAUUGGUUAGGAUUUUGGGUCGUAACAGAUAAAAAGAAAAAUAUAGUUUGGAAAAAAAUGAAUGGAAUGAAAAAGAGAAAAAAAGGAAAAAAAAAAGAAAAGAAAAGAAAAGAAGGAAACAGAAAAAAGGACAAAAAAAAAAGAAAAAAAAAAGAGGAAAUAGAGGUUAGAUGGCUGAUGUAGGAGUUGGGCACUAAAAUAGGUAUAAUGGUAAUUAUUUAAUGGGUAGGAUUCUUAAUAGGUAGAGGAAGGGUAAUUAUUUUGACUUCAAUAGGUAUUUGUGAAUUUAUCCCAUUAAUAAACCUGAGAAAUUUAUGGACAAUAAGGAAGUUUUCGCAUAAAAGAAAUAUAUUCUCAC